UACGAAGGGGGCUAGCGUUGCUCGGAAUCACUGGGCGUAAAGGGUGCGUAGGCGGGUCUUUAAGUCAGGGGUGAAAUCCUGGAGCUCAACUCCAGAACUGCCUUUGAUACUGAGGAUCUUGAGUUCGGGAGAGGUGAGUGGAACUGCGAGUGUAGAGGUGAAAUGCGUAGAUAUUGGGAGGAACACCAGUGGCGAAGGCGGCUCACUGGACCGGUACUGACGCUGAGGUGCGAAAGCGUGGGGAGCAAACAGG
rnacentral:rRNA from 1 species